UUCCUCUCAGGGUCGCAACUGGGUAGUUUCCAGUACUCUACCAGUCUUGGCAAUGGGAGGAAGAGUCAAGCAGAGGCCUAGCCAUUCCAUUCCUAGCUUGGGCAGUGGCUAGCGAGUGGAAGGUCAUCUGCUACAAGU